CAUGUUUCAGUUAAGUAACACACCACCUUUCUUUUUUACUUAAGUUACUUAUCCUCUCUCCAUUUCUUAAUUAUCAUGAUUCUUUGGGUAUUUUUUAUUUAUUUAUGUGUCUUUUCCUCCUUCUGGUUGAUAGAACCUUUAUCAAUGAAGGGUUUGACAUUAAAUUGCAUGGAUUGUAAAUUUGAAGCAUAUGAAGUGGUUUGCCAAGGAUUGAAGAGCAUCAAAAGCUAUUGAAAUUCUGGAAGCAUAUGAAGGGGCAUUAAAAGAUUAUCCUCCAGAAAGUGAACGGAUUGAGCAUGGGGAAAUGCUUUUAUAUAUAAGGUUGUUGCAUGGAGUUUUGUUCCUGGUAAGCAACUGGAGCAAAAGAAAAGAAAGAAGAUUGUCAAUCCUACUACACCUGUUGUAUUGUUUACCCGUUUUUGAAAUAUUUUAGUUUAUAUGAUCAUGUACAAUGUGUGUAUAUAUUAUACUCAUAUUUUCUAUAAAGUAAAACCUUUGGUUUAUACAUUAUAAUUAAAAUUUUAAUGUUAAGAUUUUGUUUUCCGAAGAA